GGCUAUAUCACGUUGAAACACCGGUUCCCGUAGAAUCACCGAAGUUAAACAACGCCAUGCCUGGAUCAGUACCUAAAUGAGUGACCUCUUGGGUAUGCUAGAUGCUGCAG
rnacentral:rRNA from 1 species